AAAUGCAUUCAGAUACGUUUGUACAUAUCUACAAUUCUCUGUGGUUGCAUGUAUAAUUGUUACUUUUAAGUUUUAGCUUCGUGUAGUUCAGUAUAUACACUGUUGUGAACCAGUUGUGAGAGGACGUCCACAAGGUGACGUCCUUUACACGUGCAUUUAUAGUCCAUCAUGACCCUGUAUGAAAUCAGUAUGAAAUAUGCUAAAGAAAUUGUGCUUACAUCUUGAUUAUUACUGUAAUAAUUUAUUUAAGUGGCCCAAGUAGUUUUAAGAGGCUGCGAAUAGACGACCUCGUCUAGUCAAGCAUUACCCAUUAAAAAUAAAAAUUAAAAAUAAAAUGAGUAAGUAAGUAAAUAAAUAAAAACAGGAAAUCGUAAUGAAAUACAAGUAAUUUGUAUUUACAUCUUGUUUAAUGAAUAUUCACAAAGUGCUGUGUGGUUAAGUGAUUACAAAGCCACUGAAUUUUAGUCAUAAUUCUGCCCGUUUUCCUUAAAUUGCAAUACGAUUUUAUUAUUUUAAGUUUAUGCAUAUACAUAUAAAACAAAUAUCUCCAGUCACCAUUUGAAGUCUGAGUUGGGUGUAGAUUGCCAAAACUGUGCUGCCAAGAUGUUGUAACAAAUCUCGCGAUAGGAUAGAUCAUCUCGCGAUAGGAUAGAUUAUCUCGCGAUGGGAUAGAUUAGCUCGCAAUACAAUACAUUAUCUCGCGAGAAAACUUUAACACGUUGUUGUCGUUCCAUAACCAGGAGGAGAGCGCGUCGUUGUGUUGCAAAGCUUUACGAAUUAUUAAAAAUCUACUGGUGGUGGAUGCACAACAUGACACCAUCAACGUCAACAACACUCGUGGACCCGUGGACACAUGUUGAGGUGGUCACAUAACGAACAGCCAUCUGUCAGGCCAUGUGCCACAACCGAACAAGUAUUGUCUCCAGUCCCAAAUGCUUCAUUGCCAUCCCAGUCCCAGAGGACCCCCAGUGUAUGUGAGAACUUUGCUGUCGCAUCUUAUUUUAUACACAUUAUACCUUAAUACCAACACAGCCUAAUGUAUAAAUACAUACAUUUCUCUGAAUCAGAAUUCAUACAGUUAAAAAUAUAGAGGCUACAAUGUCUGUCAUUGCUCAACAAGAGCUAAAGUACAGCCAGCUAAUUUGACAGUAACUAAUGCAGUAAAAUUGCACAGCAGCCUUAUUACUUUACCUUCAC